rnacentral:rRNA from 1 species
UACGGAGGGUGCAAGCGUUAUCCGGAUUCACUGGGUUUAAAGGGUGCGUAGGUGGGCAGGUAAGUCAGUGGUGAAAUCUCCGGGCUUAACCCGGAAACUGCCAUUGAUACUAUAUGUCUUGAAUACCGUGGAGGUGGGCGGAAUAUGUCAUGUAGCGGUGAAAUGCUUAGAUAUGACAUAGAACACCAAUUGCGAAGGCAGCUCACUACACGAAUAUUGACACUGAGGCACGAAAGCGUGGGGAUCAAACAGG